GACGAACGCUGGCGGCGUGCUUAAUACAUGCAAGUCGAACGGUGAAGGAGGAGCUUGCUUCUCUGGUUGAGUUGCGAACGGGUGAGUAACGCGUAGGUAACCUGCCUGGUAGUGGGGGAUAACUACUGGAAACGAUAGCUAAUACCGCAUAGUAGCACCUGUUGCAUGAUAUUUGUUUAAAAGGUGCAACUGUUUCACUACCAGACGGAGCUGCGUUGUAUUAGCUUGUUGGUGUGGUAAAGGCACACCAAGGCGAGGAUACAUCGUCGACCUGAGAGGGGGAGCGGCCGCACUGAGACUGAGACACGGCCCAGAGGCCUACGGAAGACGGCAGGAGGGAAUCGGCAGCAAUGGACGGAGAACUGACCAAGCAAGGCCGCAGGAGGAAAGAGGAAUUUCGGAUCCGAAAUCACGGUUGUAAGGUAGUAACGAGUUUGAGACUGGGAAGUACACAGAGUGACGGUAACUGACCAGAAAGAAACGGCUAACUACGUG
rnacentral:rRNA from 1 species